GACGAACGCUGGCGGCGUGCCUAACACAUGCAAGUCGAACGGGGUGAUAUCCUUCGGGAGAUCACUUAGUGGCGAACGGGUGAGUAACGCGUGAGAAACCUGCCUUUCAGUGGGGGACAACAGUUGGAAACGACUGCUAAUACCGCAUAAUGUAUUUUGGGGGCAUCCCUGAAAUACCAAAGCUUUAUGUGCUGAAAGAUGGUCUCGCGUCUGAUUAGCUAGAUGGCGGGGUAACGGCCCACCAUGGCGACGAUCAGUAGCCGGUCUGAGAGGAUGAACGGCCACAUUGGGACUGAGAUACGGCCCAGACUCCUACGGGAGGCAGCAGUGGGGAAUAUUGGGCAAUGGGGGAAACCCUGACCCAGCAACGCCGCGUGAAGGAAGAAGGCCUUCGGGUUGUAAACUUCUUUUAGCAGGGACGAAUACGUGACGGUACCUGCAGAAAAAGCAACGGCUAACUACGUGCCAGCAGCCGCAGUAAAAC
rnacentral:rRNA from 1 species